AUACGUAGGUGGCAAGCGUUGUCCGGAAUUAUUGGGCGUAAAGCGCGCGCAGGCGGUCCUUUAAGUCUGAUGUGAAAGCCCACGGCUCAACCGUGGAGGGUCAUUGGAAACUGGGGGACUUGAGUGCAGAAGAGGAAAGUGGAAUUCCAAGUGUAGCGGUGAAAUGCGUAGAGAUUUGGAGGAACACCAGUGGCGAAGGCGACUUUCUGGUCUGUAACUGACGCUGAGGCGCGAAAGCGUGGGGAGCAAACAGGAUUAGAUACCCUGGUAGUCCACGCUGUAAACGAUGAGUGCUAAGUGUUAGGGGGUUUCCGCCCCUUAGUGCUGCAGCUAACGCAUUAAGCACUCCGCCUGGGGAGUACGGUCGCAAGACUGAAACUCAAAUGAAUUGACGGGG
rnacentral:rRNA from 1 species